AGUAUUUCAUGUAUUUCAAUAAAUCCAUCAAUUUUAUCAAAGAUGUUAACUUUAUUAAAUUUAUAUUUGUGCUAGGAUAGCUGGCUACCCUUAUGCAGAAGAAUGAAACUGGGCCCCUACCUUUCACAGUAUAAAAAAAUUAACUUGAGGUGGCUGGCAAGAUGGCCAAAUAGGAACAGCUCCAGUCUGCAGCUCCCAGUGAGAUCAAUGCAGAAGGUACCCUUGCUUCUAAUAUCACAAAAAGCAGGAUAUAGAUGAAUUGUUACCGCCUAGAUGCUGAGACCAGACUACCUCCAUUGUUGCAACAUGAAGUGAUUGCACUAUAAGGUUGUACACGUCAUGCAACAUCUUUGUUGGAUGCCUACCCAUCUUGCCUCUAAAAACACCAUGGCUAUUAGAUAUCACCACAGAUAUCUGUGAGAAAGAGUUCCUCGGUUAUUAUUCUGUCUUUGUUAUCUAUAUAUUGGAUCUUCCUUAAGUGAGACUUCUGCAUGAUCUCCAAGCAAGGAGAGGCUAUCUAGCAUGGGGGAGUGGAGGUCUUACAUAGCACAGAGGGGUCAGGAUAAUCUAAAGGUUCAAGAUUUUCAAGCACAGAAGACCAGAUGUUUCUGUUUCAGGUCUCUGGGUCCCAUUUCUUCUUUAUGACGACUCUGUAUUUGGCAUAGGAGAAUUGCUGGGGCUGUGAAUUUAGCAUUAUUUGAAAUUUAAAUACUUCCACAAUUAGACCUUGCAUCUGAUUUUCAGCAGCCUUCCCUCUGGCUAUGGCAAAGAGGGUAGGGUCUCUUUCAUGCUACAGCUACUACGUAAGUAUGGGAACCCAAUCUUCCACAAAUGAGAGUCUAUAGAUUUGAUACUAUACUACUAGGAAUGGGAUUCUUGUUGCUCUAUGCCCAGGGAGUUAUUCAAUUUCUGAAUCCCAUCCUGAAGAUUUGCUCCAUAGAGCAAUGUAUGAUAUCAAUUAUUUUAGUUUGAAUUAUCCCAGAAGCAGAUUUUGAAAUCAGGAUUUAAGUGCAUAUGGUUUAUUUGUGGGAUGAAGGCAACCCUAGUAGGAAGGCGAGGAAGAUAACCAACUACCACUGUGGACAACUGGAGCUUAACCCCACUAGAUAAACUCAGAGAGCCAGUGUGAAGCACUCCUCAGUUGUCCCAGCAGAGGAGACGAUGGAGCCAGAGUACAUUUAUACCAAUUCCCAUCCGUCAUUGUUGAAGGGUGCUCUAUGGGUAUUUUUCAGCACUUCUGGUCCAGUUGCACAACAAAGUGUGCUUUAACAGCAAGUGAAAGCUCCUGGGCAAAGACCUUAGGCAUUGAGAGCUGUGUGCAUUGAAGUGCUAAAAGCAAGGGCUAUGGGUGGGAUGCUGACAGCCUCAGCCAAACAAAAUCGUAUUAUAAAUGUAUAUGUGAGAAAUAAAACUAUAAAGAGAAUAAAGAAAUGAUUAUCAAAAAAUGGAUGUUUUAAAUGUUUUAAAAUAGAUAUGAAUUAUUUAACUUGCUCUAAUUAUGGUUUGGAUUUUCACAAGUAGUUUCUAUCUGGCAUCUCAAACUAUUGAAGCACUGGUUGUAUUUUAAUGAUUAAUAAGAUAUAUUGCCAAAUUCCAAUUUACUGAAGAACAACUUAGUUAAGAAAUAAAUCAAUCUGACUUAAGCCCUUGUGUUAUAAACGUAGGCUUCACUGCUUAUUUUUAUGGCCAUGCUUCUGUUUAAUUUAGCACAUUUAUUCCUGAAUUCUGAAGAUAUCAGUCUUAUAAUCCAUAUUAUUGACAGGUCUUUCCCUCCAUUGCCACUAUAAUCUUUACUAUGAAGAGAAAAAUUAAUGAGCUGUAUUUGCCAAGGUUUACCUCUGUGGACGAACUCUCCUCUCUCUUAAUGCAAAUAUAAUAUUCUAGAUACAUGUUAUAUUCUCAGAACCAACCAAACUAUUAAUAAUGUUUGAUGAUAAUGAUGAUGAUAAUCAAUACUUGCCUAGUGUUUUUAUUUGCCAGACACUGCUCUAUGCACUUUCCCAUAUAUCAUUUAAUGUCCAUAUAAAUCUGGUAAAGUAGGUUCAUUUUUGUUCACAUAUUUUAAGUGAAGAGACUGAGAUCUGGAGAGUUUAAGUAACUCUACCAAGAUUACUUAGCCAGGGAUAAUAAAACAAUAGAAAGAGGUUGAAUCAGCUUAUCCCAAGAAAGGGACGAUAUAGAUUAAUGUAACCAAAGCACAGAAAGGUCAGGGGAAGCAUUGACCUCAGGAAAAAAAAAUGAUUCACAUCCUUGAAUACUGAGAUGAUUCUGUCUCUUGUAUUUGCUUCUUUCAAUAUGUUAGCUCCAUUUUUUCAGCCAAGUUGUCCCCAUGAGGCUGGAAAGUUGGCUGCAAGUAGCACUCAGUUUUGGUUGUAGUCUGAUAUUUUAAACACUUUUCUUCUCCAGUUGAGGGAGGAAUCUUACCGUGCCAGCUUAGGUCAUGUGCCCAUUCCAUUAAUCAGGGGUCAAAAAACUAAAGCUUGCACCUAUUUUUGUAAUAAAGCUUUAUUGUAACACAACCAUGCUCAAUCCCUUACAUUUUGUAUAUGGUUGCAUUCGUAGUGAAAAGGCUGAGUUGGGUAGUUGCAACAGCAGUCAUAUAGCCUGCAACACCUAAAAUACUUACUAUCUGGCUCUUUACAGAAAAAGUUUGCUGACCCCUAUCUCAGGUCAACAACUAUGGCAACUUGGUCACAGCUCUUCAUAUUGUUCCCACUUCAUUUGAGUCAAGUGCAUGGUUGUUGAUACAUGGGUUGACAUUUUGCCCUCCAAAAUGUCUUUAAAAAGAGUACAAUGUGAUUCAGCCUUCAAUCUGAAAACUUUUUGGGUUUUUAGAGGCAAUGAAUCAGCAAAGUGUAAAAUUUAUAUUAUUGGAGCAAAUAUUUAUCAUUGGAGAAAAGACUAUCGUUCCACAUUUUCUUACAAGCAGUAUCCAAGUGAUUUAUUGGACCUGAGAAAGACUGCCACAAGUAGAUGAAGCAGAAUUGUUUUGUGACUAAGAUAUUUGAAAUACAUUUCAUAAGGUUAUAAUUACCAUUGAGAGUGAUUACUCUUAUAAACCUGGGCAUAGUAAAUUGAAACUUCUUCAAAAUAUUCAUUGUUUUAGAUGCCAUUAGGAAUAUUUGUGAUACAUGGGAGGAGGUCAAAAUAUCAACAUUAACAGAAUUUUGGAACAACGUGGUUACAACCCUCACAGGUGAUUUAAAGAGCUCAAGACUUCAGUGGAGGAAAUUACUGAAGAUGUGGUGAAAAUAACAAGAGAACUGGAUUCAGAAGUGGGGCCUGAAAACAUGACUGAACUGUUGUAAUCUCAUGAUAAAACUUGAACAAAUGUAGAGUUGGUUCUCUGGAUGAGCAAAGAAAGUGGUUUUUUGAGAUGGAGUCUACUCCUGGUGAGGAUGCUAUAAACAUUGUUGAAAUGACAACAAAUGAUUUAAAAUAUCAUAUAAACAUCUUUAAUAAAAUAGUCGCAGAAUUUGAGAAGAUUGACUACAAGUUUGAAGGGAGUGGUAUUGUGGGGAAAAUGCUAUCAAACAGCAUUGCAUGUACAGAGAAAUCUUUCAUGAAAAGUCCAGCAAUGUGGCAAAUUUCAUUGCCGCCUUGUUUUAAGAAAUUGCCACAGCCAUCCCAGCCUUUGAUAACUAUCAGCCUUAUUUGUUAGCAGAUCAACAUCAAGGCAAGAAACUCCACUGGGAAAAAGACUAUAACUGGCUAAGGGCUCAGAUGAUUGUUACCAAUUUUUAGCAAUAAACCAUUUUUAAAUGAAGGCAUGUACUUUUUUUAGACACAAAGCUAUUGCCUGCUAAAGAGACUAAAAUGUAGUAUAAAUAUGACUUUUAUAUGCACCAGGGAACCAAAAAAUUUGCAUGACCUGCUUUGUUGUGAUAGUCACUUUAUUGUGCUGCUUUGGAACCAAAUCCACAAUAUCUCCAAGGUAUACUGGUACACUUAAUCUGGAUCAUAAUUUAGCCAUGACCAUGACCCCCUUUUUUAGUGCUUCCUUGUACAUAGCUCAUUAUCCAUUUGUAAAUUUUUUUUUCUUUUAAAAUAAUUUUAAACUUGGAAAAAAGUUGAAAGAAUUGCUCAAAAAACUUCUGAAUGCUCUUUUCCCAGAUCCUCUAACCAGCAAUGUUUUGUGCAUUUGCUAUACAAUUAUCUUCUCUCUUUUAAUAUUUUUCUCUUUAUGUGA